AUCUGAUCUCAAAUCAGGUAGGACUACCCGCUGAACUUAAGCAUAUCAAUAAGCGGAGGAAAAGAAACUAACAAGGAUUCCCCUAGUAACGGCGAGUGAAGCGGGAAGAGCUCAAAUUUAAAAUCUGGCGGUGUAUUCCGUCCGAGUUGUAGUCUAGAGAAGCAUCAUCCGUGCUGGACCAUGUACAAGUCUCUUGGAACAGAGCGUCAUAGAGGGUGAGAAUCCCGUCCUUGACAUGGACUCCCAGUGCUUUGUGUUGUGCUCUCAACGAGUCGAGUUGUUUGGGAAUGCAGCUCAAAAUGGGUGGUAAAUUCCAUCUAAAGCUAAAUAUUGGCGAGAGACCGAUAGCGAACAAGUACCGUGAGGGAAAGAUGAAAAGCACUUUGGAGAGAGAGUUAAACAGUACGUGAAAUUGUUGAAAUGGAAACGCUUGAAGUCAGUCGCGUUCUCUGGGAUUCAGCCUUGCUUCUGCUUGGUGCACUUCCUAGUUUACGGGCCAACAUGGAUUUUGACCGGUGGAAAAGGAUUUGGGGAAUGUGGCACCUCCAGGGUGUGUUAUAGCCCCUUGUCGCAUACAUCGGUUGGGAUCGAGGUUUCAGUGCACGCUUCG
rnacentral:rRNA from 1 species